CUGCCCGAAAUGCUUGAGUCCUGGUUAGCUGGGAUGUGGCUCUUUGUGGCCGUUCGUGCCGCUUGGGUCACGGUGCCCUUUACGGGCGGGCUCGUUCAUGGGCGCGACUUGUCGCGCUCCUCUGAUGUGGGUCCGUGCCGGGUGAACCUAUCGAAGCAUCACACGGUAAUUGCCCACCACAGCUCGUUGCUUGGUCACCCACUGUGUCCGAACGUGCAGGAUGCUCAUCCAGUGUCCGGACUGUCAAUGCUUGACGCGUGUUUAUGGGCGAUGCCACCGCACGGAGGGCUUUUCCGUGCGCGUGCGCGCUCGCGUCACGUCCGUGAUGUAUCCUGGCUCUGACUGCCGACUUGUGUGGACGUGGUGUGAUCCAUUCGGCGACGAAGCUGGAAUUGGCCAGACGCAUGCAACCCCAGCACGGCGGCCAUGUGUCGGUCGCUGUGUACCUGCGGGCAGGCUGUCUGCGUCGCAUGUGUCGCAUACGCUCAGCCUGGGAGUUGGUCUGAUUGGUGAUGAUCUAGCGACCAUCGGUCACGUCUCGAAACACGGGCCAAGGAGUAUAGCAUGUGUGCAAGUCU
rnacentral:rRNA from 1 species